rnacentral:rRNA from 1 species
AGAGUUUGAUCCUGGCUCAGAUUGAACGCUGGCGGCAGGCCUAACACAUGCAAGUCGAACGGUAACAGGAAGCAGCUUGCUGCUUCGCUGACGAGUGGCGGACGGGUGAGUAAUGUCUGGGAAACUGCCUGAUGGAGGGGGAUAACUACUGGAAACGGUAGCUAAUACCGCAUAACGUCGCAAGACCAAAGAGGGGGACCUUCGGGCCUCUUGCCAUCGGAUGUGCCCAGAUGGGAUUAGCUUGUUGGUGGGAUAACGGCUCACCAAGGCGACGAUCCCUAGCUGGUCUGAGAGGAUGACCAGCCACACUGGAACUGAGACACGGUCCAGACUCCUACGGGAGGCAGCAGUGGGGAAUAUUGCACAAUGGGCGCAAGCCUGAUGCAGCCAUGCCGCGUGUAUGAAGAAGGCCUUCGGGUUGUAAAGUACUUUCAGCGGGGAGGAAGGGAGUAAAGUUAAUACCUUUGCUCAUUGACGUUACCCGCAGAAGAAGCACCGGCUAACUCCGUGCCAGCAGCCGCGGUAAUACGGAGGGUGCAAGCGUUAAUCGGAAUUACUGGGCGUAAAGCGCACGCAGGCGGUUUGUUAAGUCAGAUGUGAAAUCCCCGGGCUCAACCUGGGAACUGCAUCUGAUACUGGCAAGCUUGAGUCUCGUAGAGGGGGGUAGAAUUCCAGGUGUAGCGGUGAAAUGCGUAGAGAUCUGGAGGAAUACCGGUGGCGAAGGCGGCCCCCUGGACGAAGACUGACGCUCAGGUGCGAAAGCGUGGGGAGCAAACAGGGAUUAGAUACCCUGGUAGUCCACGCCGUAAACGGAUGUCGACUUGGAGGUUGUGCCCUUGAGGCGUGGCUUCCGGAGCUAACGCGUUAAGUCGACCGCCUGGGGAGUACGGCCGCAAGGUUAAAACUCAAAUGAAUUGACGGGGGCCCGCACAAGCGGUGGAGCAUGUGGUUUAAUUCGAUGCAACGCGAAGAACCUUACCUGGUCUUGACAUCCACAGAACUUUCCAGAGAUGGAUUGGUGCCUUCGGGAACUGUGAGACAGGUGCUGCAUGGCUGUCGUCAGCUCGUGUUGUGAAAUGUUGGGUUAAGUCCCGCAACGAGCGCAACCCUUAUCCUUUGUUGCCAGCGGUCCGGCCGGGAACUCAAAGGAGACUGCCAGUGAUAAGCUGGAGGAAGGUGGGGAUGACGUCAAGUCAUCAUGGCCCUUACGACCAGGGCUACACACGUGCUACAAUGGCGCAUACAAAGAGAAGCGACCUCGCGAGAGCAAGCGGACCUCAUAAAGUGCGUCGUAGUCCGGAUUGGAGUCUGCAACUCGACUCCAUGAAGUCGGAAUCGCUAGUAAUCGUGGAUCAGAAUGCCACGGUGAAUACGUUCCCGGGCCUUGUACACACCGCCCGUCA